AUUGAACGCUGGCGGCAGGCCUAACACAUGCAAGUCGAGCGAGCGGCGGACGGGUGAGUAAUGGAUGGGGACUGCCCGAUAGAGGGGGAUAACUACUGGAAACGGUGGCUAAUACCGCAUACGAUCGGAUAACCCAUAUGGGAUUAGCUAGUAGGUGGGGUAAAGGCUCACCUAGGCGACGAUCGCUAGCUGGGCUGAGAGGAUGAUCAGCGGCAUGGGAACUGGGACACGGCCCAGAGUCCUACGGAGGUAGCAGUGGGGAAUAUUGGACAAUGGGCGCUAGUCUGACGCAGCCAGGGCGCGUGUGUGAAGAAGGCCUUAGGUUUGUAAAGAACUUUCAGCGGGGAGGCGUUACCCGCAGAAGAAGCACCGGCUAACUCCGUGCCAGCAGCCGCGGUAAUAC
rnacentral:rRNA from 1 species